CCCUAUGAUUAUUUAAAUGGCUGCAGUAUUUUGACUGUGCAAAGGUAGCAUAGUAAUUAGUUUCUUAAUUGGGAGCUUGAAUGAAUGAAUAAAUAAGAGAAUGUUUAUAUUCAAAAUAAUAUUAGAAUUUAAUUUUUGAGUUAAAAAGCUUAAUUUACUUAUUGGGACGAUAAGACCCUAUAGAACUUUAUUAGUUAUAUUAUAUUAAUAAUUAGUAUAAAUUUUUAUAUGAAGUAAUUAAUUUUGUUGGGGCAACAAGUAAAUUAUAACUUUAUUUUUUUUUUUCAUUUGUAUAUGUCUUUUGGAUCCUCAUAAGAGAUUAUAAGAAUAAGUUACCUUAGGGAUAACAGCGUAAUUUUAAUGGGGAGUUCUUAUUUAUAUUAAAGUUUGCGACCUCGAUGUUGAAUUAAGGUUAUAUCAGGGGGUAG
rnacentral:rRNA from 1 species